rnacentral:tRNA from 1 species
CCGUAGCUCAGCCGGUAGAGGAAAAAACCGCCAAAAGCGGCGGACUUGUAAUCCGCUGGUCGCGGGUUCAAAUCCCGCCGG